UACGUAGGGAGCAAGCGUUGUCCGGAAUCAUUGGGCGUAAAGCGCGCGUAGGUGGCCUCAUAGGUCCGCUGUGAAAGUCAAAGGCUCAACCUUUGAAAGCCGGUGGAUACUGUGAGGCUAGAGUACGGAAGAGGCGAGUGGAAUUCCUGGUGUAGCGGUGGAAUGCGCAGAUAUCAGGAAGAACACCCGUGGCGAAAGCGGCUCUCUGGAACGGUACUGACGCUGAGACGCGAAAGCGUGGGGAGCGAACAGG
rnacentral:rRNA from 1 species